GGUGGAGCAGCCUGGUAGCUCGUCCUCGUCGGGCUCAUAACCCGAAGGUCGUCGGUUCAAAUCCGGCCCCCGCAACCA
rnacentral:tRNA from 1 species